AUUGAACGCUGGCGGCAGGCCUAACACAUGCAAGUCGAACGGUAACAGGAAACAGCUUGCUGUUUCGCUGACGAGUGGCGGACGGGUGAGUAAUGUCUGGGAAACUGCCUGAUGGAGGGGGAUAACUACUGGAAACGGUAGCUAAUACCGCAUAACGUCGCAAGACCAAAGAGGGGGACCCUCGGGCCUCUUGCCAUCGGAUGUGCCCAGAUGGGAUUAGCUUGUUGGUGGGGUAACGGCUCACCAAGGCGACGAUCCCUAGCUGGUCUGAGAGGAUGACCAGCCACACUGGAACUGAGACACGGUCCAGACUCCUACGGGAGGCAGCAGUGGGGAAUAUUGCACAAUGGGCGUAAGCCUGAUGCAGCCAUGCCGCGUGUAUGAAGAAGGCCUUCGGGUUGUAAAGUACUUUCAGCGGGGAGGAAGGGAGUAAAGUUAAUACCUUUGCUCAUUGACGUUACCCGCAGAAGAAGCACCGGCUAACUCCGUG
rnacentral:rRNA from 1 species